AGAAAGUUUGGACAUGAAACUAAAGGGAUUACCAGGCUUGUGAGGAGUAUCCUGGACGGGUUGAAGCUUGCUGUGUUAGCUGAAAGAGAGUCGUGGAGUGAAAGCGUCACUGCAGCGGGCAGCGUGAGCGGAUUCGGACGGCACAUCACCCUGUCAAUCGCGAAGGAAUCUCUUGCUGGGUCCAUACUGUAAGGACUGAUUGGCAUAGUAAUGCCGGGUUUGUCCCUCUGUGGAUGCGUCGACAAGAACACAGCAAUGGGAGAUGCUCCAAAGCUUCUGUUGUCCCUGGAGAGAUUUGAAGAGCGAGACAAACACCUUUGGGUUUCUCGGCGGCUGUGUGUUCUCCAAAAUCCGCCCCAAGGCAGCGCGAUAUUAAUACCCGGCACCUUCUUCUAAUUCUCCGUCAUUAGCGCUGAAUGCUAUAAAUGGAGGCUGCGAGCGCGUGCAUAAGGGGGCUAAACGUGCUCGGCACAAACUGGAUGUAAUGAAUGCCCCAAGAAAAGUGCAAUUACAGCAGCUCAUAAUAUUUACACGCCAUUACAAGUGCAUGCCUCACAGCUAUCUUUUUUUCUUACCUGCUGUCCUCUUGUUGCAUGCAGCUGCAGCCAUCCUAACAUCUCCUGUUGGAAAUACAGUAGACAACAAAAUGUUUUCUUACCUGCUGUCCUCUUGUUGCAUGCAGCUGCAGCCAUCAAAACAUCUCCUUGCAGAAAUACAGUAGGUGAUAAACUCAAGGCCCGGGGGACAGAUCUGGCCCGCGACAUCAUUUCAUCUGGCCCGCAAACACCUGGGAAUGAUACGGGUCAAUAAAGUUCUUCAUAUUCUCUCACUGAAUUUACUUUUUUCAUUUUGACAGAAAAAAUAUAUGUACUGCUUGAUAUUGCAAAACUUUUUAAACUGUAAUAGACGGAAUAGAAAUUGAAAGAGUAAAUGAAACCAAAUUUCUAGGUAUAAUGAUUGAUGAUAAAUUUAACUGGAAAUCUCAUGUAAAAAAUAUACAACAUAAAGUAGCAACAAAUACGUCAAUAAUGAAUGAAGCCAAGUAUGUUCUGGACCAAAAAUCACUUCAUAUUCUCUACUGCUCACUAGUGUUACAUAUCUGAGUUACUGUAUGGGGAAAUAAUGACAAAAGUACACUUCAUUCACUAACAGUGUUACAAAAAAGAUCAGUUAGAAUAAUACAUCAUGUUGGAUAUAGAGAACAUACAAACCCUUUAUUUAUUGAAUCAAAGAUACUGAAAUUCCACGACAUAGUGGAAUUGCAAACAGCUAAGAUUAUACACAAAGCAAACUAUAACCUGCUUCCCAAGAAUAUACAACAAUUCUUCUCAACAAAAGAAGAGAAAUAUCCUCUUAGAGAAAAAUGUAAUUUAAAACAUUUGUAUGCACGUACAACACUUAAGACCUUCAGUAUAUCAGUAUGUGGAAUUAAAUGAUGGAAUGGAUUAAGCAAAGCAAUCAAACAAUGUACUAAUAUGAUCCACUUCAAGAAACUCUUCAAACUGGAAGUGUUUACAAAGUACAAAAAAGAAGAACUAUGAUAAACAUUCUGAUUUUACUCACCCAUUCAUUCUCAAAAUAAUCUGACUUAUCUCAUCGCAUGGAAUAAAACUUGCUUCACCAAUUAUUUAUUUGUUUAUUUAUUUUUAUUGUGAUUACUUAUUACUUAAGGAGUAAACAUUGUGAAUACAUUGAGAACAGGAAGUGAACUAAAGUUUUAGCAAGUGUUAUGUAAAGAAAAGGGGUAGGAUUAAAUAAGAUCUGCUUCUUCCUACUCCUUUUCCAACAUGUUGA